rnacentral:tRNA from 1 species
GCCCCUAUAGCUCAGUAGGAUAGAGCAACGACCUUCUAAGUCGUGAGUCGGGAGUUCAAGUCUCUCUGGGGGCG